rnacentral:rRNA from 1 species
UACGUAGGGUGCGAGCGUUGUCCGGAAUUAUUGGGCGUAAAGGGCUCGUAGGCGGUUUGUCGCGUCGGGAGUGAAAACACCGGGCUUAACUCGGUGCUUGCUUUCGAUACGGGCAGACUAGAGGCAUGCAGGGGAGAACGGAAUUCCUGGUGUAGCGGUGAAAUGCGCAGAUAUCGGGAGGAACACCGGUGGCGAAGGCGGUUCUCUGGGCCUGACCUGACGCUGAGGAGCGAAAGCGUGGGGAGCAAACAGG